rnacentral:rRNA from 1 species
GACAGAGGCCUCGAGCGUUAGGCGGAAUCACUGGGCUUAAAGCGCGUGUAGGCGGAUCGUUAAGUGCCUUGUGAAAUCCUGCGGCUCAACCGCAGAACCGCUGGGGCAUACUGGCGGUCUUGGGCCACUCAGGGGUCACUGGAACAAGCGGUGGAGCGGUGAAAUGCGUAGAUAUCUACAGGAAUGCCGAUGGUGAAGACGGCCCGCUGGGCAUGUCCUGACGCUGAGGCACGAAAGCGUGGGGAGCAAACAGG